ACUCCUACGGGAGGCAGCAGUGGGAAUAUUGGACAAUGGGCGCAAGCCUGAUCCAGCCAUGCCGCGUGAGUGAUGACGGCCUUAGGGUUGUAAAGCUCUUUCAACGGUGAAGAUAAUGACGGUAACCGUAGAAGAAGCCCGCGUACAUUCGUGCCAGCAGCCGCGGUAAUACGAAGGGCGUAGCGUUAAUCGGAAUUACUGGGCGUAAAGCGCAUGCAGGUGGUUUGUUAAGUCAGAUGUGAAAGCCCGGGCUCAACCUCGGAACUGCAUUUGAAACUGGCAGACUAGAGUACUGUAGAGGGGUGGAGAAUUUCAGGUGUAGCGGUGAAAUGCGUAGAGAUCUGAAGGAAUACCGGUGGCGAAGGCGGCCCCUGC
rnacentral:rRNA from 1 species